AGAGUUUGAUCCUGGCUCAGGACGAACGCUGGCGGCGCGCCUAACACAUGCAAGUCGAACGAGCGAGAGAGAGUUUACUUUUUCGAGCGAGUGGCGAACGGGUGAGUAACGCGUGAGGAACCUGCCUCAAAGAGGGGGACAACAGUUGGAAACGACUGCUAAUACCGCAUAAGCCCACGGCUCGGCAUCGAGCAGAGGGAAAAGGAGCAAUCCGCUUUGAGAUGGCCUCGCGUCCGAUUAGCUAGUUGGUGAGGUAACGGCCCACCAAGGCGACGAUCGGUAGCCGGACUGAGAGGUUGAACGGCCACAUUGGGACUGAGACACGGCCCAGACUCCUACGGGAGGCAGCAGUGGGGAAUAUUGCACAAUGGGGGAAACCCUGAUGCAGCGACGCCGCGUGGAGGAAGAAGGUCUUCGGAUUGUAAACUCCUGUUGUUGAGGAAGAUAAUGGCGGUACUCAACAAGGAAGUGACGGCUAACUACGUGCCAGCAGCCGCGGUAAAACGUAGGUCACAAGCGUUGUCCGGAAUUACUGGGUGUAAAGGGAGCGCAGGCGGGAAGACAAGUUGGAAGUGAAAUCCAUGGGCUCAACCCAUGAACUGCUUUCACUGUUUUUCUUGAGUAGUGCAGAGGUAGGCGGAAUUCCCGGUGUAGCGGUGGAAUGCGUAGAUAUCGGGAGGAACACCAGUGGCGAAAGGCGGUACUGGGCACCAACUGACGCUGAGGCUCGAAAGUGUGGGUAGCAAACAGGAUUAGAUACCCUGGAGUCCACACUGUAAACGAUGAUUACUUGUGGAGGAUUGACCCCUUCAGUGCCAGUUAACACAAUAAGUAAUCCACCUGGGGGUACGACGCAAGGUUGAAACUCAAAGGAAUUGACGGGGGCCCGCACAAGCAGUGGAGUAUGUGGUUUAAUUCGACGCAACGCGAAGAACCUUACCAAGUCUUGACAUCCUGCGACGCACAUAGAAAUAUGUGUUUCCUUCGGGACGCAGAGACAGGUGGUGCAUGGUUGUCGUCAGCUCGUGUCGUGAGAUGUUGGGUUAAGUCCCGCAACGAGCGCAACCCUUAUGGUCAGUUACUACGCAAGAGGACUCUGGCCAGACUGCCGUUGACAAAACGGAGGAAGGUGGGGAUGACGUCAAAUCAUCAUGCCCUUUAUGACUUGGGCUACACACGUACUACAAUGGCGUUAAACAAAGAGAAGCAAGACCGCGAGGUGGAGCAAAACUCAGAAACAACGUCCCAGUUCGGACUGCAGGCUGCAACUCGCCUGCACGAAGUCGGAAUUGCUAGUAAUCGCAGAUCAGCAUGCUGCGGUGAAUACGUUCCCGGGCCUUGUACACACCGCCCGUC
rnacentral:rRNA from 1 species